UUAAGUUCAGCGGGUAGUCCUACCUGAUUUGAGGUCAGAUGUCAUUUAAAAUUGUCUGAACAAACAGACGAUUAGAAGCAAUAACUCAAAAGCUUUAACACAGUGCAGAUAAUUAUCACACUGAGAGCAGCAAAGUGUUUAUGCUGAUGCAUUUCAGAGGAGCUGAUCAAUAAAGACCAGCAAAGAGCCUCCACAUCCAA
rnacentral:misc_RNA from 1 species